GUCCCCGUAGUCUAAUGGAUAAAACAUGGGAUUGCGGAUCCUAAAAUAGAGGUCCGAUUCCUCUCGGGGACA
rnacentral:tRNA from 1 species